GGAGAGGUGCCGGAGCGGCCGAUCGGGGCGGUCUCGAAAACCGUUGUAGCUUUCGAGCUACCGUGGGUUCGAAUCCCACCCUCUCCGCCA
rnacentral:tRNA from 1 species